rnacentral:lncRNA from 1 species
UAGGAAGCAUUGGGGAGAGGUGUUUAGGCAGGACAUGACUAGAAUGCAGGUUACCGAGGACUUGACCCUUGAUAGGGAAGUCUGGAGGUCUAGGAUCAGGGUUGCAGGCUAGGGGCUCUUAGAGUCCUUCGUUCGCCCAACCCGGGGUUGGGUGUGGGAUAGUAGGGUUACCCGUAGAUGACUAGUGUUUUAGCGUAGGUCCNN